AUGAGUAAAUUUUUCAAAACGUUCAUUUUUGGCUGAACUACUCCUUUAAUAUAGAUGAAGCUGUGUGUGUCUAGGUGGUGUUUAGGUACCUGUGUGAAGAGAGUUCGCAGACAUUGAGAGAGAAGACGUUUUCAACCAACAUCCGCAGUUUCAUCAUGAAGCUCCUUAUUUCAGGUGAAGUUCAGACGUAUGAGUGUUUAUCGUCUGACCUACAGAAGAAUGUUCUCUCAGCUUUGCUCAGGAUGGCUGCUGUGACCAAAACUAAAGUUGAUGACCAGAAUGAGUUCAGAGUGAAUAAAUAUGCAGUGAAGAGAAUAUGGGACAUGCUGAGUAAUGGAUGGACCCCUGAGAUCAGUGUAGAGGCCAGACUGUGAUGAGAAGAAUCAGACGACAGCAACUCUCGAUUCUUUUAUUGUAGAAUUGCUAAUAUGUAUAAGUACUGUAUGAGUUUUUAAGUGUCAAACACAGAACAAACCUGCAGUAGCUGCUCUAAAUGUAGAGCAUCGUUUAUUUUCAACUCUUAUUGCAGUAUAGAUGAUUUAAUUUCAUAGAUGAAGUGAAAAUCAUACAGAUAUUAAUGGUAUUCAACAGCAAAAAUCACAAA